ensembl:lncRNA
UGGUAGUGAUGGUGGUGGUGGUAGUAAUGAUGAUGGUAGUGAUAGCAGUUUAGUGGUGGUGGUGGUGGUGGUAGUAGUAAUGAUGAUGGUAGUGAUAGCAGUUUAGUGGUGGUGGUGGUGGUGGUGGUAGUAGUAAUGAUGAUGGUAGUGAUAGCAGUUUAGUGGUGGUGGUGGUAGUAAUGAUGAUGGUAAUGAUAGCAGUUUAGUGGUGGUGGUGGUGGUGGUAGUAAUGAUGAUGGUAAUGAUAGCAUGGUGGUGGUGGUGGUGGUAGUAAUGAUGAUGGUAGUGAUAGCAGUUUAGUGGUGGUGGUGGUGGUGGUAGUAAUGAUGAUGGUAGUGAUAGCAGUUUAGUGGUGGUGGUGGUGGUGGUAGUAAUGAUGAUGGUAGUGAUAGCAGUUUAGUGUGGGUGGUGGUGGUAGUAGUAAUGAUGAUGGUAGUGAUAGCAGUUUAGUGGUGGUGGUGGUGGUGGUAGUAGUAAUGAUGAUGGUAAUGAUAGCAGUUU